CCUCCUUUCAAGGAUGUUCCGGUCCAAAGACGAUCCUGGAUUGGAACAGACUUAAUCAAAAACCCAAGGCACCGAUGGAAUUCAAGGCCGCCGCCGGCGUAUCCCUUCAUCAAAGGACAGAAGACGGACGUCCGGAAACGGUGGUUUUCGUCCUUUUAUAUCGAGACCCGUUGCGCUUGGUCCCUCAUCUCUGGUCUAUUUCAUCUGGAGCGGGCCUGUAGCUCAGUUGGUUAGAGCGCACGCCUGAUAAGCGUGAGGUCGGUAGUUCGAGUCUACCCAGGCCCACCACUCUAUCGGGGGCGUAGCUCAGUUGGGAGAGCAUCUGCUUUGCAAGCAGAAGGUCGUCGGUUCGAUUCCGAUCGCCUCCACCAAUACCAAGGUGACAGGCGAAGGUUAAAAAGAGGGCGCCGGGUGGAUAGACCUGGGGGCGGCGAAUAGGGUUUCAUUUAUGAAUUGCGGCUAACGGUCGUUAGCUGUUGGCUUUGGUCUUGGAAUUGUGAAUAGGUUUUGGCUUCGUC
rnacentral:tRNA from 1 species